GACGAACGCUGGCGGCGUGCUUAACACAUGCAAGUCGAACGGAAAGGCCCUGCUUUUGUGGGGUGCUCGAGUGGCGAACGGGUGAGUAACACGUGAGUAACCUGCCCCUGACUUUGGGAUAACUUCGGGAAACUGGGGCUAAUACCGGAUAGGAGCUCCUGCUGCAUGGUGGGGGUUGGAAAGUUUCGGCGGUUGGGGAUGGACUCGCGGCUUAUCAGCUUGUUGGUGGGGUAGUGGCUUACCAAGGCCUUGACGGGUAGCCGGCCUGGGAGGGUGACCGGCCACAUUAGGACUGAGAUACGGCCCAGACUCGUACGGGAGGCAACGGUGGAGAGUAUUACACAAUGGGCGGAAGCCUGAUGCGGCAACGCCGCGUGCGGGAUGACGGCCUUCGGGUUGUAAACCGCUUUCGCCUGUGACGAAGCGUGAGUGACGGUAAUGGGUGAAGAAGCACCGGCUAACUACGUG
rnacentral:rRNA from 1 species